rnacentral:rRNA from 1 species
AACGAACGCUGGCGGCAGGCCUAACACAUGCAAGUCGAGCGAGACCUUCGGGUCUAGCGGCGGACGGGUUAGUAACGCGUGGGAACGUGCCCUUCUCUGCGGAAUAGCCACUGGAAACGGUGAGUAAUACCGCAUACGCCCUUCGGGGAAAGAUUUAUCGGAGAAGGAUCGGCCCGCGUUAGAUUAGAUAGUUGGUGGGGUAACGGCCUACCAAGUCUACGAUCUAUAGCUGGUUUUAGAGGAUGAUCAGCAACACUGGGACUGAGACACGGCCCAGACUCCUACGGGAGGCAGCAGUGGGGAAUCUUAGACAAUGGGCGCAAGCCUGAUCUAGCCAUGCCGCGUGUGUGAUGAAGGUCUUAGGAUCGUAAAGCACUUUCGCCAGGGAUGAUAAUGACAGUACCUGGUAAAGAAGUCCCGGCUAACUCCGUG